UACAGAGGUCUCAAGCGUUGUUCGGAUUCAUUGGGCGUAAAGGGUGCGUAGGCGGCGCGGUAAGUCGGGUGUGAAAUCUCGGGGCUUAACUCCGAAACUGCAUUCGAUACUGCCGGUGCUUGAGGACUGGAGAGGAGACUGGAAUUUACGGUGUAGCGGUGAAAUGCGUAGAUAUCGUAAGGAAGACCAGUGGCGAAGGCGGGUCUCUGGACAGUUCCUGACGCUGAGGCACGAAGGCCAGGGGAGCAAACGGG
rnacentral:rRNA from 1 species